UACAGAGGGUGCGAGCGUUAAUCGGAAUUACUGGGCGUAAAGCGUGCGUAGACGGUUAUUUAAGUCGGAUGUGAAAGCCCCGGGCUCAACCUGGGAAUUGCAUUCGAGACUGAAUAGCUAGGGUGCGGUAGAGGGAAGCGGAAUUUCCGGUGUAGCGGUGAAAUGCGUAGAUAUCGGAAGGAACAUCAGUGGCGAAAGCGGCUUCCUGGACCAGCACCGACGUUCAGGCACGAAAGCAUGGGGAUCAAACAGG
rnacentral:rRNA from 1 species